GGCGCAUUCGUCUAGUGGACUAGGACGCCGCCCUCUCAAGGCGGAGAUCACGGGUUCGAACCCCGUAUGCGCCACCA
rnacentral:tRNA from 1 species